UGGGGAGACUUCUGCUCCUUCAUUGUGAGCUCAGCAAACACCUGCUACCACCAUGUGCCCCUUUGAAAGGGGCCUUUCUCUGCCGCAGACUCCUGGAAGUGGGGGAGAUCCUCUUGGCAGCUCCAAUGGGAAGACAAGAGCCCCCAGGGGACAACAUGACUGAGUGUGAUUCUGCUCAGAUCACACUAUAAAACAGUGCCUGCUUGGGACUUAUAUUCCCUCACUGCCAGAAUCCACGUGACCUGAAGAUGGGCCUCCCAAGGAUCCCCCUUCAGUGAGAAGCAAGGACAAGAAGCCAGCUUGAGUCCUGGCUCACACUGACCGGCUGUGUGACCUCAGGCAGCUCUCUUCACCUCCCUGAACAGUUUCUUCAAGUACAAAAUAAAAAGAGAUGAAGCUUAUUUCACAGGACUGUUGCUGGGAGAUUUAGCAGUGGGAGAAGAUACUUAAAACAUCUUAACAAUGGAGGCUUAGGGCACAAAGAUGAUGUUGACCAUUAUGAUGAUGAUGAUAAUGAUGACGACAUACCAAAGAAAGGACAAAUUUUGUUAUCCAACAUGCUGCAGGAGAUUCUUUCUGAAGAAAGGGUUCCAAUUCCCCUACGGUGUUUGGGGACCCGGACAGGACAAUGGCUGGGACUCAGGAGAUGCUGGUCUUAGCAGUUCAGGACCUUGGACAGAGCACCCCAUCCCUCAAGGCUUCACAGGGCCCAUCUGUCUAACCUGGGGUUGGACCGAAUGACCCCAAAGGGCCCUCCCAGUUCGGCUCAAGGAGUCUGGUUUCACACCAGCAGAAACGUAACGAGGAAGCGUAGCAAGUGGGUGAAGACACCGAGACGGUGUCUGCAGACGGACAAUUAUCAUCACACAAUAUAACACUCUAAUGGCGGAAUCUUUUAUAUUAAAAUAGACAUUAUGGAGCACAGUUCCAUCAAAGGAAUAUAAUAGACUUGUUUUAUAUUACAAUGCACCCUGUAAUUACACAUUUCAAUAAUUGCUUCAAUGCAUUACAUAGAAGCGUCCUGAAGCGAUGGAGUCCUGGAACCAUAUAUAAUAACCCCCCUAAGGAGAGGACCCUGCGGAUGGCUGCAGAGUGACAGAGAGCCCUUCAGAAUCAUAAUCUCCUCAGCCCAGGGCCACGUGGCUUCUGACUCUGCUCUCCGGAGGCUCUUCAGAGGCGAGCCUUUGUCUAAGGCUCUGCCCACGUAGGCAGGAAAACCCUCUACGACAUCUCCAGCCGCACUUCUGUAACCACACCUCCAGAGACAGGACGCUCACUACCUCCAACGCUCCCUAUUCGAUGGGUUCUAUCAUUGAGAAAUU
rnacentral:lncRNA from 1 species